UAUUUGUGUGUUGAUCAAAUACAGAUUGAUUUAGCAAUGCUUAAUGGAUAGCUUUUGUGCCAGGUAUAAUUAAUUUGUUUAUAACUGUUUUCUUUUCUUUUUUUUUUUGGUCCUUUGGACUGUUUUCUUUUCUAACAUGAGGGCCAGAAUACAUAUAUAACUUUGCUUUGAAUUUUCUGUAGCCAGAUGCAUUUCUUUGCUCUGUUAGUGACAUGUAAGCCAGCAACACAGGGAGACAAAGGGGGAAAAAUGUUAUUGCUGGUCCUGAGGUGGGGCAUUUAGCAUGAUGAAAAACAAUGGACUUGGAUGGCUGCAGCUUAAAUUGAUUGGUAACAACAAAGAUCUCCAUGUGCCUACUCUUCUGUCUUACAACAUGUUGGAUUUCCAAUCUAUUAUAGAGAUGUGUAGCAAGGAUGAACCGGCCACUGUCCAGUGAUCAUGUCAAACAAUGUGAAAUUCACAAUGAUGAUGCUUUUGAAACAUGUAGCAGAAUGACCCUUUUUCUUUUAAUUCAUUAUCCGACUAUGAAAGCAAACAUGGUUUUUUUCUUGCUUAUAAAUGUGCAUUGGUUUCAAUAUGAUGACAUAUUUGGAAUUAAACUUUGGAACGUGACAAUGUAC